GAUGAACGCUGGCGGCGUGCCUAAUACAUGCAAGUCGAGCGAACAGACGAGGAGCUUGCUCCUCUGACGUUAGCGGCUGACGGGUGAGUAACACGUGGAUAACCUACCUAUAAGACUUGGAUAACUUCGGGAAACCGGAGCUAAUACCGGAUAAUAUAUUGAACCGCAUGGUUCAAUAGUGAAAGACGGUUUUGCUGUCACUUAUAGAUGGAUCCGCGCCGCAUUAGCUAGUUGGUAAGGUAACGGCUUACCAAGGCAACGAUGCGUAGCCGACCUGAGAGGGUGAUCGGCCACACUGGAACUGAGACACGGUCCAGACCCCUACGGGAGGCAGCAGUAGGGAAUAUUCCGCAAUGGGCGAAAGCCUGACGGAGCAACGCCGCGUGAGUGAUGAAGGUCUUCGGAUCGUAAAACUCUGUUAUUAGGGAAGAACAAAUGUGUAAGUAACUAUGCACGUCUUGACGGUACCUAAUCAGAAAGCAACGGCUAACUACGUG
rnacentral:rRNA from 1 species